ACUUGAGAGUUUGAUCCUGGCUCAGAACGAACGCUGGCGGCAGGCCUAACACAUGCAAGUCGAGCGAGACCUUCGGGUCUAGCGGCGGACGGGUUAGUAACGCGUGGGAACGUGCCCUUCUCUGCGGAAUAGCCACUGGAAACGGUGAAUAAUACCGCAUACGCCCUUCGGGGGAAAGAUUUAUCGGAGAAGGAUCGGCCCGCGUUAGAUUAGAUAGUUGGUGGGGUAAUGGCCUACCAAGUCUACGAUCUAUAGCUGGUUUUAGAGGAUGAUCAGCAACACUGGGACUGAGACACGGCCCAGACUCCUACGGGAGGCAGCAG
rnacentral:rRNA from 1 species